UGAGACCUCUAUUUACCAAUGGGUAUAAGGAU
rnacentral:piRNA from 1 species